CGAAACUAGAGUUGUUUUAGAAACAUUUACAAAGGUACAUAAGGGGUGACACCUUAUGUACCUCUCUUGUUCUUCAGAUACAUACAUAAACAACGAGAAAAGAAGCAAAUGAUAUCAAUUUCGCAAACAAUACAUACAUAUAGGGGCAUAUCAUAUCUUCCGAGGAAAUUCACCAAACACCAACACGAAGGUAAAAUCUGAUGAUAGCAGAGCCUUAAAAACGUUCACACACUUUAAUGAAAUUCCACAACUUCUUCAUCACACAUUUGAUGAAACUCCACAGCUUUCUAACAUUCACGGCGAUACUCUCGGCCGUAGCUGUAGCUCGGCCUAGCUCCAAAGUCACUCUCAGACCUCUCUGCAGCACCUCUCUCUUCCUCCAAGCUCAACUCACCCAUCGUCUUCUACAAAAAAAAGUCUUCAUUGAUAGCACAUGAUUAUAGCACGUUUUACUGAACUGCUAUCGUAGAUGGGUUUAAAAUUUGCUUAUUAUAUAAUAGGGUUAAUUAAACGCUAUGGUAGAGUUUCACAAAGCGAGAACCUAAAAUUAGCUUUACCACGGCACACUUAGCAAAAAAAAGACUGAUCUGAUUAUUUUCCCUCUCUCCACUCGCGAAAGACCUUUCUCUUCUAGCUCCAAAGUCACUCUCAGACCUCUCUGCAGCA
rnacentral:lncRNA from 1 species